AUUGAACGCUGGCGGCAUGCCUUACACAUGCAAGUCGGACGAGAGGCGGACGGGUGAGUAAUAUAUUGGAACGUACCGAAGAAUGGGGGAUAACCAAGCGAAAGAUUGGCUACUACCGCAUAAUAUUCGAGCGGCCAAUAACGGAUUAGCUAGUUGGGGGGGUAAAGGCCGACCAAGGCGACGGUCAGUAGCGGGCCUGAGAGGAUGAGCCGCCACACUGGGACUGAGACACGGCCCAGACUCCUACGGGAGGCAGCAGUGGGGAAUUUUGGACAAUGGGCGCAAGCCUGAUCCAGCCAUGCCGCGUGUCUGAAGAAGGCCUUCGGGUUGUAAAGGACUUUUGUUAGGGAAGCGGUACCUAAAUAAUAAGCACCGGCUAACUACGUGCCAGCAGCCGCGGUAAUUC
rnacentral:rRNA from 1 species